GGUCGAGGAGCCGCAGGCCGGGGCCCCGGGCUCGGGCCCCGGGUCGGGGCCCCUCUGGCUCAGGCCCCCGGGCCGGGCCG
rnacentral:tRNA from 1 species